GUUGGGCUUCGGCCCAUUCGAGAUAACACCCUUGCCUUUUUGAGUACCUUUUCGUUUCCUCGGCAGGCUCGCCUGCCAACGGGGACCCUUCAAAACGCUUUGUAAUACCUGUAAUUGUCUGAUAUAACAAGCAAAAAUCAAAACUUUCAACAACGGAUCUCUUGGUUCU
rnacentral:misc_RNA from 1 species